UUGCUUUGGCAGCCCAUAUACUAAAAUUGGAACGAUACAGAGAAGAUUAACACGGGCCCCUUCGUAAGCUUGUUGUGCAAAUUUGUGAAGCAUUCCAUAUUAAA
ensembl:snRNA U6 U6 spliceosomal RNA